ACCCCCACGAUCACGUGCAAUAUCUGUGCUUAUGUAGCCUUACUGUAAAUGUUAUGAAACAGACGGUUUGGAGAAGAAUAAACAUUGUUCCGCCGGUCUAAGCGUCCGACAGAAACAUCUUUGGCUGACGAAACAUUUACAAGAAGAAAGAACAGCCAUGGUCUGACUCCUGAUAAAAGCCAGCGUCUAUGUAGUGAGGAAGAUCCGGGCGUCCCUCGCCGAGGGGGAACAGUUGGAGAAGCCCAUCUUCACACCAUGUAGCGCUGGAGAGAAGAAACAACUUAACGUGUCCAACGCUGACCCACUGCCGGCCAUGUUGACCCCUGAUGAUGACGUGGUGGGGGGGAAGUCGUCUCCGGAGACAGCCCUGCAGAAGUGUAACUCCUGAGGUUAAAGGUCACACUGGAUAACUUGGCUGGGACUCAUAAAUGUUUCUUCUAAGUACAAAUACACACAACCACACAGAGAAAGAGAGAAAAUAUCCAAUCUGGUUUUCAUUUGAACCAAUCUGUGAAACAAGUGUCACUAGUUAUGCUUGAAUAAUUACAUUAACACACUGAAUGUAUAAAUAUGGCUUCACAUUCUCAUGUGAAAGUGGCAGUUAUGAAAAACAUCAGUUAAAACAUAUGGAUUGUGUCAAUUGGAUAUUGUAUCAUUUCUGUCUUUCCCCUGUCCAGUGUGACCUUGGUUUUGAACAAUAAAUGAUUUAUUCUAGCUAUAGUGUGUGAUGGUAUGUUCACAAACCCCUCAGUCCAGGGGCUGAACACACCUGAUGUUUGCUGCAGCUAGAUGUUAAAUCAAUAAAAUUACAAUUAAAAACAAA